rnacentral:rRNA from 1 species
AUUUUCAAUUAUAACUCAACUUACACAUGCAAGUCUCCGCACCCCUGUGAGAACGCCCUCUAACCCCCUCUGGGGUCAGGAGCCGGUAUCAGGCUCAAUAAUUAGCCCAUGACACCUAGCCACGCCACACCCACAAGGGAAUUCAGCAGUGAUUAACAUUGAAUAUAAGCGCAAGCUUGAUUCAGUUAGAGUAAACAGAGCCGGCAAAUCUGGUGCCAGCCGCCGCGGCCACACCACGGGCUCAAAUUGACCUCACCCGGCGUAAAGCGUGAUUAAAGUUCCCCUUAAAAUGCAGUUGAACCAGACCUAGGAUGUUUAAUUCUUGAGCCUGGGAAACUCAAAAACGAAAGUCA